GAUGAAGAACGCAGCGAAAUGCGAUAAGUAGUGUGAAUUGCAGAAUUCAGUGAAUCAUCGAAUCUUUGAACGCACAUUGCGCCCCUUGGUAUUCCAUGGGGCAUGCCUGUUCGAGCGUCAUUUGUACCUUCAAGCUCUUCUUGGUGUUGGGUGUUUGUCUCGCCUCUGCGUGUAGACUCGCCUCAAAACAAUUGGCAGCCGGCGUAUUGAUUUCGGAGCGCAGUACAUCUCGCGCUUUGCACUCAUAACGACGACGUCCAAAAGUACAUUUUUACACUCUUGACCUCGGAUCAGGUAGGGAUACCCGCUGAACUUAAGCAUAUCAAUAACGGAGGA
rnacentral:misc_RNA from 1 species